AACAAAUAAAAAAUAAUGAUAACCCUAAUUGUAAACAACAGCAAGUGCCAUUUAUUUAUGACAUAUUAAAAGCUUUGCACACAUUAUUUCAUUUAGUUCUCCCAACAAUCAUAUCAAGUAGGUACAGUUAUCUGCCUUAUUUUAUUGAUGAAAAAAGAAUCUCAGAAGGUUAAGCAACUUGACCAGGCACACACAGCUUCUAAGUGUGGGAUCAGAAGUCACAUCUCUCUGACUCCAAAGCAGGCAAAUUUUCACCUUGGCAUUGAAGCAGUUUUACAGACCUAUGUUGACUUUUCUUUUCACCAAUUGACCAGGGAACUUCUAACUACUCAGCAUUAAACUUCCUAAAUUAUUCCAUUCCUCCUCUGUCAGACUACGAGCUCAAAGCCUUAGUCCUGGAAUCCAGUUUUCUGCCCCAGGCUCCCUGGGCCUAUGGGUCCAGAGGAGCUACCUCUUCUCCAGUCCAAAAGAGUUCCCUGACUUCGGAGUCCAGUUCUGUCUGGGUAAAACACUCUGCUGAAGAAGGGUCCAUAAGGGAUUUUACUAUGGCUAUCUUUUUGGACAUAUUAAGGGGCAAGUUCUCUAAUGACUCAUAAAGGCCAUUAACAUGGGUUUUGCAGUGAGUACUAAGACCUUCCCAUAUGAGUAUAACUGAAACCCUACACAAAUAAUGUAAUGUUUAAUUGCAUGUGCAAAUAAAAUUGUGCAAAACUCUCUAAGAGUAUAAAGUUCGAAAGACUGUAUUUUAUAAAGAAUUUUUUAAUGAUAUAGGAACAACCUUAGGCAAGUAUGUUAAGGAAAAAACAGCAGGGUGUGAAACUGUACAUAGUGUAUCAUCAUCAUUAUGUAAAUUAUCUAAAAGCGAGAGGUGGGAGCAGGGGAAGUACUUGCAGAUAAAUACACAAAAGUGCUAACAAUGGUUGCUGAUAGAUGGUAUGAUGGAGACUUUUAAUUUUCUUUUUUUAUAUACUGCGAAAUUUUCCAAAUUCUCCUCGGCGAAAAUAUUUGUCUUUGGCCGAUUUAUAGCAUUACCUCCAGCGACUCCUGCAGGCUGGUUAGUUUCUUGUUCCCCCAACAUCCCUCUUUCUGAUAUCUGCUUGGUCCUUCCUUAUUUAAGAUGCACAGGUGGGGUUUCCAGAUGGUCUGGGGGACACUCAUUCUUUAUUUAUCCUCUUCGUUUGCCUUUUAAUCUUCUUGGUGGAGUUCCCGAAGGAAAUGGAAGUGAAGAACUUCAGCCAAAUGCAAGCAAACACCGCUUCGUUAUUAGCUGGGCCAAUGCCCAAUAGCCCGAUGUUGGACGAUUUGGAAAAAGCUGGUCUAUGCAGCAGACACUUGAUAGGUACCUUCUUCUUAACCUAGAUCAGAAUCUUGAGUGGGUGCAGCGAUAAAGGAACUCUGGAUGAAAGAGGCGCAGCUGAUACAACUCAGGAGAUAGAUCACCACGUGCAUAACGGGGAAGGAGGACAGGGAGGGAGGGAGAGGAUAUGGCUGGUCCAGCUCACCUCAUGCACUGUCACAGGUGCAUGGACAGAACACGACAGAGGGAGAUUAGCUUGGUACACGUCUCUUAGAACACAGCGACCCUGGCCCCAAUCAGUGUGGCCCAAUCCAGGGUUUAUACUCUGACUAAUCACAUUAGCCUCUUCUUCUCCCUUGGACGUGGGAGCUAGGGUGAGGAUGCACUGAGCACGCUUGCACACAUGGGACACCAAGGCCAAUGAGAGACUGAAAAUGAGUGUACCUCCAAGGAACUGCCUGUGUGCUGGCAGAUCCAAAAGCGGAAGCAAAGCCCUCGUGGCUGGCUGCAUGCAGGCAUCCUGAUGCAGAAGUGCUGCUAAUUUAAACCCAUUUUCCAAGGUGCCCACAGCCUCCACAGGGAAUCACCACC
rnacentral:lncRNA from 1 species